GCCAAAGAAAGACUGACUGACUGAUGAAACCGGCCUUGACAUCUCUAGAAGUUGUGGGUGAUUGCCAGCAAAGAGGUGUUCGUCCCCUGUGGUUCCUGUCGAAGUCUUCAGCUCCUGAGACACUCUUCACACGCGGCCCGUCUGUCAGCCGCAGCUCCUUGAUGAGCUCUGUGUUCUUCAGGGAGACGGGCUGCUAAAAGCUUUAAACACCAACAUCUCACCCUGAUCCCACAGAAAUCAAAUCUCUCCUGCCGAAACGCAGUGGAUGUGAAGGAAGGAAGAGCGAGACUGUAACUGAUCAAAGCAGAGUUAAUCACAACAUGAGCAUGCUGGAGGAAAUGAAAGCACACUGGCUUUAAACUGGAUACUUUGGAAAUGAACCCCAAGAGAUGGGAUCAAGAACAUGAGAUGAUGGCUUAGAGCUGCAGAGACUCAGAAGUGUGAGAGGGACAUAUCAAGGGAACAUCUCUUUUUAGCCAAUAGCCCUAAGUUUAAGAAAGAAACAUGAUCUGUGAUUCACCUUUGUGAAGUAGAUGUACUAUAAUGUCUAUCUGCUAGUGUUUCCAUCUCGACUACUCCAGUCUGUUCCUCUGAUCCAGUCUAACAUCACAUUCAUCUGAGUGCACCGCGCUAACAGGGCCAUUUACUGAAGCCGUCAAUCACAGCGCCUGUCUAACCAAUCAUCUUUCACCUUCAGCCCGCUCAUCCCGCCCCCUCAAGGACUGUGUUCUGUUAUUGACAGCGGAUCUGAUCCAGGAGGUUAUAAAUCUGCUCUGAUGGGAGUCACAGUCACAGCGGGAAACGGCUGACAUUUCACCCUCAUCUCAGGCUUUAGAAGUCCCGCAGGACACAUGUGCGCGUGAUUGAGGGUGAUCAGACGCCCGCCGCUGCAUCCCGACAUACCUGAGCGCUGCUCGCGCGUCUGCACCCGAUCAAUCUGUCAGCGCAAUAAUCCCGGACCGAUGAACAACAUCAGCGCAGUCUGACACACUGUAGUCUGGGAUCCUCUGCGCAGCUGUGCCACAGUAUAUGAAGGUCAAAUGAACGACAUGAGAGACGUCUGGCUAUUUUUCUUAAGGUUAAACAAGCGACCUGAAGAACCAGCGAGGGAAGAGCUUUAAAUGAGCAAUUCAGCCAAAAAUGAAACAGUCUGUCAACCUGUAUGACUUUAUUUUAUCUGUGAGACACAAUGUUAGGUAGAAGGUUCUGAACAGGUUCGGUCUAAAGAGAAAGAAAGUCAUACAGGUUUGUGUUGAAGUGCAUUUUCAUAAGAGGAUAAAAAAUAAA